GACGAACGCUGGCGGCGUGCUUAACACAUGCAAGUCGAACGAAGAGCGAUGGAAGCUUGCUUCUAUCAAUCUUAGUGGCGAACGGGUGAGUAACGCGUAAUCAACCUGCCCUUCAGAGGGGGACAACAGUUGGAAACGACUGCUAAUACCGCAUACGAUCUGACCUCGGCAUCGAGGAUAGAUGAAAGGUGGCCUCUAUUUAUAAGCUAUCACUGAAGGAGGGGAUUGCGUCUGAUUAGCUAGUUGGAGGGGUAACGGCCCACCAAGGCGAUGAUCAGUAGCCGGUCUGAGAGGAUGAACGGCCACAGUGGGACUGAGACACGGCCCAGACUCCUACGGGAGGCAGCAGUGGGGAAUCUUCCGCAAUGGACGAAAGUCUGACGGAGCAACGCCGCGUGAGUGAUGACGGCCUUCGGGUUGUAAAGCUCUGUUAAUCGGGACGAAAGGCCUUCUUGCGAAUAGUUAGAAGGAUUGACGGUACCGGAAUAGAAAGCCACGGCUAACUACGUG
rnacentral:rRNA from 1 species